rnacentral:rRNA from 1 species
CCUACGGGUGGCAGCAGUGAGGAAUAUUGGUCAAUGGGCGAGAGCCUGAACCAGCCAAGUCGCGUGAGGGAGUACUGCCCUAUGGGUUGUAAACCUCUUUUGUCGGGGAGCAAAAGCCGGACGUUUCCGGCUGUGAGAGUACCCGAAGAAAAAGCAUCGGCUAACUCCGUGCCAGCAGCCGCGGUAAUACGGAGGAUGCGAGCGUUAUCCGGAUUUAUUGGGUUUAAAGGGUGCGCAGGCGGAUUUUUAAGUCUGUGGUAAAAUCGUGGGGCGCAACCCCAUCCAGCCGUUGAAACUGGGGAUCUAGAGUGUGCGAGAGGUAUGCGGAAUGCGUGGUGUAGCGGUGAAAUGCAUAGAUAUCACGCAGAACCCCGAUUGCGAAGGCAGCAUACCGGUGCACAACUGACGCUCAGGCACGAAAGCGUGGGUAUCGAACAGGAUUAGAUACCCCAGUAGUC